UGAAAAUAAACAACAUUCGCAAACACUUCCUGCUUGCAAGAAAAUGAGGGAGAUUGAAUGAGCACUUUGCUGAACCGUCGUUAGAUUCAAAGCAGUCACGAUCACAAGUGUUCAGGAAGGUUGAGCUCAGGACUCUGUGCCGGCCAGUCAAGUUGCUCCACACCAAACGUUAUACACCUGCAGCCAUGGAAGUGAUGGUAUUCUCUUGCAUGCACAAAAGCGAAUGUAUGAACAGGAAUGCUUCGAAUGAGCACAACCCGGUUGUAACUGAUUGCUUUGUGACCUUCGGGGGAAUGGUACACAGUUUGUCAGGAAGAACUGGACAAGGGAGCCAUUUUUAGCCACAAAACUUAUAAGUUGACAUUUUUCCACAGCUCAGCAAACGGCACAGAAAAUAAAAGGUGUGCAGAGACUCUUCAA